rnacentral:rRNA from 1 species
CUACGGGAUGCAGCAGUGAGGAAUAUUGGGCAAUGGAGGAAACUCUGACCCAGCCAUGCCGCGUGCAGGAAGACGGCCCUAUGGGUUGUAAACUGCUUUUGUACGAGAAUAAACCUUUCCACGUGUGGAAAGCUGAAGGUACCGUACGAAUAAGGAUCGGCUAACUCCGUGCCAGCAGCCGCGGUAAUACGGAGGAUCCAAGCGUUAUCCGGAUUUAUUGGGUUUAAAGGGUCCGUAGGCGGGUUUUUAAGUCAGUGGUGAAAGCCUACAGCUCAACUGUAGAAUUGCCAUUGAUACUGGAGACCUUGAGUGUAGUAGAAGUAGGCGGAAUAAGGCAUGUAGCGGUGAAAUGCAUAGAUAUGCCUUAGAACACCGAUUGCGAAGGCAGCUUACUAUGUUACAACUGACGCUGAGGGACGAAAGCGUGGGGAGCGAACAGGAUUAGAUACCCCAGUACUC